UACAGAGAGUGCAAGCGUUAAUCGGAAUCACUGGGCGUAAAGCGCGCGUAGGUGGAUAUUUAAGUCGGAUGUGAAAGCCCUGGGCUUAACCUGGGAACUGCAUUCGAUACUGAAUAUCUAGAGUAUGGUAGAGGGAAGUGGAAUUUCCGGUGUAGCGGUGAAAUGCGUAGAUAUCGGAAAGAACAUCAGUGGCGAAGGCGGCUUCCUGGACCAAUACUGACACUCAAGUGCGAAAGCGUGGGGAGCAAACAGG
rnacentral:rRNA from 1 species